rnacentral:rRNA from 1 species
ACCCCCGGGCAGGGGGGAUUACCCCCUGAAUUUAAACAUAUCAU